AUCUUCCCUGAGAGACCCCAUUGGUCCAACCUCCGCCGCCGCCUACGGAAGGGCAUUUUGAAAUCAUUAUCAACACUGACACCAUCCAAACACAUGACCUAUCGCCAGUUCAAGAAGCACUUGGUGACUUGAGUUCCUUAACUGCAGGACCCUGUUGGAUCAAACUGUUGGGUUUACCAUUACUUACAAGAGAGAGGAUGCGUACGACACGCGGGAGCUGUCAGAGUUUCUGGACAUAUGGCUAUGGUUCGUGAGGCUUGACGCUGCUUACCCUUGGUUCCCGGUUGUACUUGACUGGAGAGCUGGCAGGCUUACCAGAUAUGCUGCAAUGCUUGUCCCCUCACCAGAUGAGCAUGCGAAUGGGUGAGGUCUUCCACCCGGAGGUGCUGGAGCUGUUCGUGAUGAAGAAAGUGUUUGCCGUGGAGACUUGGCUGAAGCAGCAGAACCAUUUGAAGCCGAGGUUGAAGACCACAGACAUGGCCAGGAUACUCGGUUUUGGUGUCGGAGACAAGCUAUUCGACUUGAUCGAUAAGUACCCUCUCCAUCCUUCGUGAUGAAAUAUACAUAGCUGAAAAUGGGGAUCUGAUCCCACACAGAAUCAGUUACAGAAUUGCCAGAAAGGUACGUUGCUUUCUUCCAGGAGCUCUUCUGAUGCUGUCGUGUUGCUCAUGGCCUUUUCGCUCUGUUGUACUCAGUUGCAGCAAACGAGGGCCGGUGCCCCUGCUCCUGCGACCGCAGAGUCUCUCUAGCUUCUUUCUGCUAUAGAAAAUAACAAUGUCGUCUACAGUGGGACGACUUACUUUAUGUCAUCUUUUGGUGUACAUUGUAGAAUGAAUUUGCUUUUGCAGAAAUAAAACAUUUGAUUCUGAAAGGAAAUCAUUUACUGGAAAAAGAAUAAAGAAAAUCAUUCCCAAGCGGAUGACUUUGAAAUGUGUUUCCUCCUGUGUACGAUUUCUAUUGUCUUCAGGAAUAGGAAGGAUGGCUUUAUGUUGUCCAGUGUGACUUUCAAUUUUGUUUGACCAAAAAGUAGAAUUUGUGUUAGGAAAAAAACAGAUGUAUUUCAUUGUCUUCUCUAUUUGUUUGAGUGUUAAUUCUCCAUUCCAAAUUAUAAAUCAUUUGGGGUUUCCUAGGUACAUAAUCUUUAUUAUGCAUCUGAUAUACUCUAUUUCUCCAUACACAACAAAAGCUAUGAAUCUAAAAAAAGCUAAAAUGACUUAUAAUUUGGAAUGGAGGUAGUAGUUAGCAAUAUUACAUUCACAUAGAUAGUUUAGUUGCCAUACCUCUAUUGCUGAAAGAAUAAUACUGUUAAUUUUAGAAUAAAUCUAGAAAAAUACAAGCACUCGUGUUAAGUUGAGGAGAUUUGGCCGGCUGGUGGCAGCCGUGGGCAGGCUGUAUCUAGGCUGCGGCCAGCCUAGGUGGCUGCAGUUGGCCGGAGGCCGCUUGGGCUGGUCGAGUGAAGUUGGGCGCGGAGCAGACGUGGUCGGGGAUGAGUAGGAGGCUGCAACCAGCCCACGAUAGACCUGGCGUGGCCGCAGGCAGCUGCGACUUGCAUGGUGCGGCUGUGGCCAAGGAUGGCCGGCUGGAGAUGGGGCUGCGCGACGAGGUUUGUUGAGGGAAAGGAGCAUCGAUGGUGGCUUGGGCAGCUACGAAGCGUCAAAGGUGAUGGCUGGAGACGACAUUGCGCAGCGAGGCUGAGCGGUCUGUGGCUAGGACAGUGUUGUCGCCCUCGGGACAGUGCAAAGAGG